rnacentral:rRNA from 1 species
UACGAAGGGUGCAAGCGUUAAUCGGAAUUACUGGGCGUAAAGGGUGCGUAGGCGGUUCGUUAAGUCUGUCGUGAAAGCCCCGGGCUCAACCCGGGAAGUGCACUCGAAACUGGGAGGCUAGAGUAUCGGAGAGGUUGGUGGAAUUCUCGGUGUAGAAGUGAAAUUCGUAGAUAUCGAGAGGAACACCGGUGGCGAAGGCGGCCAACUGGACGAAUACUGACGCUGAGACUCGAAAGCGUGGGGAGCAAACAGG